rnacentral:rRNA from 1 species
AACGAACGCUGGCGGCGCGUCUUACCCAUGCAAGUCGAGCGGCAGGCAGCAAUGCCGAGAGCGGCGGACUGGUGAGUAACACGUGGAUAACGUACCCCGAUGUCCGGGACAGCCUGUAGAAAUAGAGGGUAAUACCGGAUAGAUCACUGUUUACGUGAGGUAGACAGCGGGAAAGGAGCUUCGGCUCCGCGCCGGGAUCGGUCUGCGGCCCAUCAGCUGGACGGCGGGGUAAAGGCCCGCCGUGGCGAGGACGGGUAUCCGGCCUGAGAGGGCGGACGGACACAUUGGGACUGAGAUACGGCCCAGACUCCUACGGGAGGCAGCAGGUAAGAAUAUUCCGCAAUGGGGGGAACCCUGACGGAGCGACGCCGCGUGAACGAAGAAGGCCGGAAGGUUGUAAAGUUCUUUUCUGUCCGAGGAAUAAGUUUCGGAGGAAAUGCCGGGACGGUGACGGUAGGGCAGGAAUAAGCACCGGCUAAUUACGUG